GACGAACGCUGGCGGCGUGCCUAAUACAUGCAAGUAGAACGCACAGUUUAUACCGUAGCUUGCUACACCAUAGACUGUGAGUUGCGAACGGGUGAGUAACGCGUAGGUAACCUGCCUGGUAGCGGGGGAUAACUAUUGGAAACGAUAGCUAAUACCGCAUAAUAUUGAUUAUUGCAUGAUAAUUAAUUGAAAGGUGCAAUUGCACCACUACCAGAUGGACCUGCGUUGUAUUAGCUAGUAGGUGAGGUAACGGCUCACCUAGGCGACGAUACAUAGCCGACCUGAGAGGGUGAUCAGCCACACUGGGACUGAGACACGGCCCAGACUCCUACGGGAGGCAGCAGUAGGGAAUCUUCGGCAAUGGACGAAAGUCUGACCGAGCAACGCCGCGUGAGUGAAUAAGGUUUUCGGAUCGUAAAGCUCUGUUGUAAGAGAAGAACGGGUGUGAGAGUGGAAAGUUCACACUGUGACGGUAUCUUACCAGAAAGGGACGGCUAACUACGUG
rnacentral:rRNA from 1 species